CCUACGGGGGGCAGCAGUGGGGAAUAUUGCACAAUGGGGGAAACCCUGAUGCAGCGACGCCGCGUGAGUGAAGAAGUAAUUCGUUACGUAAAGCUCUAUCAGCAGGGAAGAAACACUGACCUUACGGUCAGCAGACGGUACCUGAGUAAGAAGCCCCGGCUAACUACGUGCCAGCAGCCGCGGUAAUACGUAGGGGGCAAGCGUUAUCAGGAUUUACUGGGUGUAAAGGGAGCGUAGACGGUGCGCCAAGUCUGGAGUGAAGUGCCGCAGCUUAACUGCGGAACUGCUUUGGAAACUGGCGAACUAGAGAGCGGGAGGGGUAAGCGGAAUUCCUAGUGUAGCGGUGAAAUGCGUAGAUAUUAGGAGGAACACCGAUGGCGAAGGCAGCUUACUGGACCGGAACUGACGUUGAGGCUCGAAAGCGUGGGGAGCAAACAGGAUUAGAUACCCGGGUAGUC
rnacentral:rRNA from 1 species